UGCCUACUUGAGGCCUUGUGAAGAUUUCUAACCAGCACCAUGGGAGGCUCUCCUAACCCUGCAGGAGAAGGACGUUCCUACUUCAAGCUUCGCCCUUGAGCUGGGACAACAUACAUUGGGAUGGAGGGAGUAGGCCUGGCAAUGCUGCCUCUCAUCCCCACUGGGCAGGUCAGUGGGGACGAAGUCUUGGCUCAGGACACCAGUGCUGAUCAGGCUCACAAGAUGCAUCAAGGCCGAGGAGUCAGCUCUGAAUAAUUCCUCUUUGGACCAGGAACUACGUGAAAUCAGCAGUAUAAGCCUAAUUCUUGCCCUGUCCUGGAUUCUACACAGUUAUGUGUACUUGGUAAGGGGUCAACCUGGCCCCAGGGAGCCUCAGAGCCUCAACGCACUGUGAGGAUAAGAGGCUGCCACAGGUUAAACCAUGGGAGUUAAGGCACUUGGCAUGACUUGCAUACACAAUGAUGGACAGAUGGACGAAGCUGGGAUUCUGAUACUGCUGUGAGAAAAUGGCUUCAGUUUCUUUUUUUCCUGGGAUCUAAUCAAAUAAGUAAAUUCUUCAGGAAUCUUCUUGCAGAGUCAUGCAUGAGCUUGGGUCACAUUGAUCCCAGUGGGGCUGUAGCUUCGCGGCAGGAGGACCUUGGUUCUCACCACUGUAAGGAACGAGACUUCAUUUCCACCUAUCUAUAUAAAAACAGGUUACUAUGGCUUCUCAGCGGGUACAUUAGCAGCAUGAAUGUGUUUGUACACUCACCAGGAGAUCUGUCAUGAAUUAAACUAUGGCUGGUAUUCUUCUCGUGUAAAUUU